rnacentral:rRNA from 1 species
CUACGGGUCGCUGCAGUGAGGAAUAUUGCACAAUGGGGGGAACCCUGAUGCAGCAACGCCGCGUGGAGGAUGACGCAUUUCGGUGUGUAAACUCCUUUUAUAUGUCAAGAAAAUGACGGUAGCAUAUGAAUAAGCACCGGCUAACUCCGUGCCAGCAGGCCGCGGUAAUACGGAGGGUGCAAGCGUUAUUCGGAAUCACUGGGCGUAAAGGACGCGUAGGCGGGUUGGAAAGUCAGGUGUGAAAUCCUACAGCUUAACUGUAGAACUGCACUUGAAACUUCUAAUCUAGAGUAUGGGAGGGGGAGAUGGAAUUAGUGGUGUAGGGGUAAAAUCCGUAGAUAUCACUAGGAAUUCCUAAAGCGAAGGCGAUCUCCUGGAACAUUACUGACGCUAAGGCGUGAAAGCGUGGGGAGCAAACAGGAUUAGAUACCCUCGUAGUC